ensembl:lncRNA
GAAGGCUGGUGAGCAGAGUCAAGCUGGAGGGUGCAGAUACGCACGACUGCUCUUGCUGAUUGCUGAGAAUAUGCAAACCCCCAGGUUCCCAAGGACCCAUUAAACCAUCACUAAUGCCUCACCCAGGCUUCCCAGGUGGCGCUAGUGCUAAAGAACCCGCCUGCCAAUACAGGAGAGGCACAACUUUGUUGGAAUUUUUUGCUGGUUCCAAUAGAUUACCUGAAGAUUUUUUUGGAUUUUUUUCUUCAGACAUUCUUAUCCUUUGUGAGUAAGGGUAAUUUGUUUCUUCUUUUAAAAUCCUUAUGUCUUUAUACUGGCACACAAAAAAAGGGAUGCAUAGAUCAAAGGAACAAAACAGAGAGCCAGAAAUAAACCCAUGCCCUUACGGUCAAUUAAUCUAUGACAAAGGAG